AAUUCAGACAAACUCCGAAUGCCAAUUAAUUUAACUUGGGAGUCAGAACAUGGGUGAUAAGGUCCGUGUUCGAAAGGGAAACAGCCCAGACCACCAGCUAAGGUCCCAAAAUAUAUGUUAAGUGGAAAAGGAUGUGGCGUUGCCCAGACAACUAGGAUGUUGGCUUAGAAGCAGCCAUCAUUUAAAGAGUGCGUAAUAGCUCACUAGUCGAGUGACACUGCGCCGAAAAUGUACCGGGGCUAAACAUAUUACCGAAGCUGUGGAUUGUCCUUUGGACAAUGGUAGGAGAGCGUUCUAAGGGCGUUGAAGCAUGAUCGUAAGGACAUGUGGAGCGCUUAGAAGUGAGAAUGCCGGUGUGAGUAGCGAAAGACGGGUGAGAAUCCCGUCCACCGAUUGACUAAGGUUUCCAGAGGAAGGCUCGUCCGCUCUGGGUUAGUCGGGUCCUAAGCUGAGGCCGACAGGCGUAGGCGAUGGAUAACAGGUUGAUAUUCCUGUACCACCUAUAAUCGUUUUAAUCGAUGGGGGGACGCAGUAGGAUAGGCGAAGCGUGCGAUUGGAUUGCACGUCUAAGCAGUAAGGCUGAGUAUUAGGCAAAUCCGGUACUCGUUAAGGCUGAGC
rnacentral:rRNA from 1 species